rnacentral:tRNA from 1 species
UCCCUGGUGGCUCAGAUGGUAAAACAUCUGCCUGCAAUGCAGGAGACCCGGGUUUGAUUCCUGGGUUGGGAA